GGAAAAUUGAGGUGCUUUCCUAACCCUCCUCAACUCCCCAAGGGUUUCUUGCGAGAUCCUGAUCACCUGAGGGAUCUCAAGCCUGUCUCCUCCUUCUGACCCAAAAUGAGUAAACUGAGACAAAAGGAGAUCAAGUAGAAUGGAAGCCUUCGUGUUGAAUGCACUGGAGGGGCCUUGGUGACUUGCUUGACAGAGUAUGGUGAAAAUGAUGCUGUGUGACUUCCACGCUUCAGUCACAAAGAUGCCACACCCUUCUGCCUUGUUCUUUUGUCACACUGCCUCUUGGAAUGUGGCCACAUGCUGCAAGGAAGCCCAAGCAAACUGUAGAGAUGCCACAUGGACAGAAACCAAGGCCCAUAGCCCCUAGUCCUGACUGAGCUCCCAGCUGGCACCAGCACCAACAUGCCAGCCAUGUGAAUGAACUACCUCCAGUCCCAGUCAAGCCACUCUACCUCACACCAUGCGGAGUAGAGAUGAGCCAUCUCUGUUGAGCACUUCCCAAUCACAGACACCUGUGCCCAGCUGAGACUGCCACCUCCCUACCCAAGGACAGAUAUUCUUCUGGUAAUGACAACCAAGUAAAGUGCAAGUGUUUGGAGCUAAUGGCUGCCUUGUUGCCCAGUAGAAGGUUGUAACUGUACGUUUAGGAGGAGAUUUAAAAAUCUAUCUGACCCCAUUCAUUGCCAGUGAAUUCCACUGGACUUCUUAAUUCAAGAGACAGUCCCUGGGUAAAGGAACUCUCAGCCAUAAAGGGAUUACUAAGAAACUGAAGCAGAGUGCUCUGUGAUGGGGUCCUCAUGGAGCCUGAGCAGUCAGGAAGAAGUAUGCUGUGGCAAAAAAAAAGAAGUAAAUUGUGGAUUCUGAUGCCAGCAGUGUUGGUGAAGAAGAAAAAGAAGAGGAAGGAGAAAGAGAAGAAAGAAGAGAAGGAGGGGGAGUAGGAGUAAGAGGAGAAGGAUAAGAAGAAGGAGGGGGAGGAGAAUUGGCAAGCGUUAGAGUCUACAGACAUCUUAGAGGUUAUCUAAUCUGACUAGAGGAUGCGCUGCAAUCUCCUACAUGGUCGACAGUGUUGAUUUAUUUAUUUUUUAAACAUUGUCACAUGACUUUUUAAUACAAAGGCUGUCCAGUUACUGAUGUGCACAGUGGUAAGCAGGGCCUCCUCUGCACAGUUUAACCUAUUUUGUGCUUAAACCCAAGUGUAGUGCUCACGUGGAUGACCCUGUAAAUUCACGGUUUCUGAUAUCAAUUGUCACCUCAAUGUUCCAGCAGUCCUUCUCUUUCUCAGUCCCCUUUCUUUCCCAUUAUUCAUCAGUUUCUUUUUAAACUUUCAACAAUCUCCUUUGAUCCCAACAUCUCCCUUCUUAUUCUUAGCAGAUUCAUUUAUUGAUUUUUCUCAAAAGGUAUUGGUUGAGUACCCACUCCGUGCCAGCCUUCUUCUAGGCGUCGGGGAAGAACAGUGAACAAAC
rnacentral:lncRNA from 1 species